GCAGUGGGGAAUAUUGCACAAUGGGCGCAAGCCUGAUGCAGCAACGCCGCGUGAGUGAUGACGGCCUUCGGGUUGUAAACCGCUUUCAGCAGGGGCGAAGCUUGUGGUGACGGUACCUGCAGAAGAAGCACCGGCUAACUACGUGCCAGCAGCCGCGGUGAUACGUAGGGUGCGAGCGUUGUCCGGAUUUAUUGGGCGUAAAGAGCUCGUAGGUGGUUGAUUGCGUCGGAAGUGAAAACUUGGGGCUUAACCCUGAGCGUGCUUUCGAUACGGGUUGACUUGAGGAAGGUAGGGGAGAAUGGAAUUCCUGGUGGAGCGGUGGAAUGCGCAGAUAUCAGGAGGAACACCAGUGGCGAAGGCGGUUCUCUGGACCUUUCCUGACGCUGAGGAGCGAAAGCGUGGGGAGCGAACAGGCUUAGAUACCCUGGUAGUCCACGCUGUAAACGGUGGGUACUAGGUGUGGGGUCCAUUCCACGGAUUCCGUGCCGUAGCUAACGCAUUAAGUACCCCGCCUGGGGAGUACGGCCGCAAGGCUAAAACUCAAAGGAAUUGACGGGGCCCCGCACAAGCGGCGGAGCAUGCGGAUUAAUUCGAUGCAACGCGAAGAACCUUACCUGGGUUUGACAUGGACUGGGAGUGCUCAGAGAUGGGUAUGCCUCCUUGUGGGGCUGGGUCACAGGUGGUGCAUGGCUGUCGUCAGCUCGUGGCGUGAGAUGUUGGUUAAGUCCCGCAA
rnacentral:rRNA from 1 species